CGUAAGGCCUUGAGGCAAGGUUGGACUUACGAAUUGUGUCAGGUCCGGAAGGAAGCAGCACUAAGUAUGCUCUGGCUUGUGCCUUAAGUUAUUGAGCAAAUC
rnacentral:SRP_RNA from 1 species